rnacentral:rRNA from 1 species
UACGAAGGGGGCUAGCGUUACUCGGAAUUACUGGGCGUAAAGCGUGCGUAGGUGGUUCGUUAAGUCUGAUGUGAAAGCCCUGGGCUCAACCUGGGAAUGGCAUUGGAAACUGGCGACCUAGAGUGCGGUAGAGGGUAGUGGAAUUCCCGGUGUAGCAGUGAAAUGCGUAGAGAUCGGGAGGAACAUCCGUGGCGAAGGCGACUACCUGGACCAGCACUGACACUGAGGCACGAAAGCGUGGGGAGCAAACAGG